rnacentral:tRNA from 1 species
GGUAAUAUAGUGUAGAGCAUAAAAAGUUGCAAACUUUUAGGAGUUUAUAAAACUAUUACUU